AACGUAGGUGGCGAGCGUUAUCCGGAUUUACUGGGCGUAAAGGGUGUGCAGGCGGGUGAACAAGUGGUGUAUGAAAGGUUUCGGCUCAACCGAGAUAGGUUAUGCCAGACUGUUUACCUAGAGUGUGAGAGAGGGACGUGGAAUUCCGGGUGUAGUGGUGAAAUGCGCAGAUAUCAGGAGGAACACCGAUGGCGAAGGCAGGUCUCUGGGCAUUAACUGACGCUGAGGAGCGAAAGCAUGGGGAGCGAACAGG
rnacentral:rRNA from 1 species